rnacentral:lncRNA from 1 species
AGGCUACAGAGGGGCUGAAAGGGAGACGGAGAGCGCUCCCUACAGGAGCUGCUGCAGAAAUACGCCGGGGCCUUCAAUGAUUCCGACUGCGAGUCAGCGCCCGCGGCCAGCAGCACCAGAUCCGACUCCCUGGCAGCCGACAGCGACGACGACGAAGAGGAAGAAGACGAAGAUGAAGAAGAGGAAGAGGACGAAGAAGAGGAGGAAGAGGAAGAGGAAGAAGAGGAGGAAGAAGAAGAGGAGGAGGAAGACGACGACGACGAGGCCGAAGCUCCGCCCCCCCCCCCCCCCCCCCCCCCCCCCCCACUCCCCAAGAAGGAGAUCAGCGACAUCGCGGCUGCGGCCGAGAGCCUGCAGCCCAAGGGGUACACGCUGGCCACCACGCAGGUGAAGACCCCGAUCCCGCACCUGCUGCGUGGGACGUUACGCGAGUACCAGCACAUUGGGCUGGACUGGCUGGUCACCAUGUACGAGAAGAAGCUCAACGGGAUCCUGGCCGAUGAAAUGGGGCUGGGCAAAACCAUCCAGACCAUCUCACUGCUCGCACACCUCGCCUGCGAGAAGGGUGAGCACACAGCGGGCAUGGAGGGUCAAUGGGGUCUGUAGGGUCAGCGGGGGUAAUGGGGGUAAUGGGGGCAAUGGGGACAUUGGGGGCAAUGGG